GACCUCGUAGCUCAGUUGGACUAGAGCAAGUGCCUUCUAAGCACUAGGUCGCUGGUUCGAAUCCAGCCGAGGUCGCCA
rnacentral:tRNA from 3 species